CUCAAACAGUGAACACCUAAUGGUAGCAAACACUAUUUGAGAUAUUAAGUAAAGUGAAACAGCUGAUUUAAAUUUAUCUUUUUUGCCCACUGCGAUCUAAACUUAACUUUAAAUACAUGACAAUUCAUACUUUGGUGCAAAGCCUCAAGAAUGUGAUCCGCUGUGUGUAGCACCACUGACUAUGUAAACCACCUACCUAGUCAAUGCCUAGAAGUUACUUACUAGCACACGUGUGUUGUUGAUUCAUGUCCUCAUGGAGCGCC